rnacentral:misc_RNA from 1 species
AGAAGAAUUUAGUGAGGUUAAGUUUAAGUUUAUCAUCUCACCUGAAAAUGUAUCAAAACAGUAUUUUUGAAUUUAGAAAAUGUUAUAAUGGUUUUAGUAAAACUAGGAGAGGAUACGCGAAACUAAUUGAUUUAUACUUCGACAAGCAUCCUGAGUUGUCAAAUAUAAAAAAAUACAUUCCAAACAAAUAUUUAUCCAUUUCCUCCAAAGUAGCCAAUGAACACCUUUACUUAAUAUGUGUUAAAACUGCCAAGAUUAUUGCAGAUCAUGUUAUUCCUUUUGUAAAAGAAGAUCAAAUUGUAGCUGAAAGUAAUGUUGGCCUAGGUCUUAUAACAACAGAGUUGUUAGAAAAAGGAGUCAAGAGAGUUAGGAUGUAUGAAACAUGCCCUGAAUUUAGGGUAGACCUGAAAAGUUUUGAUUCUGCUUUUCCUGGAAGAGUCGAGUUAUUCACCAAGAAUUUAUUUCAUCUAGGAAGGUUUUCUUUUUUGGAUAAGCAAGAUGGAAUCAACAGAGUGGAUAUUCUACUUAAAGGUGUACCAAAGAAAGCUUGGACAGAUGAUCCAUCUAUGACUGUGGUGGGAACAAUGCCAAAUUUAAAUUUUUUAAAGUAUUUAAUUAAAUCUUUAGCCCUACAAACAGGUCCUUCAGUGCAUGGAAGGAUGCAAAUAUUUGGCAUUAUAAGAGAAUUUGAUUAUAAAAUCUUAACAGCAACUCCACAGGACAAUUUGAGAAUUUAUCAAGUGGCAUCACCGUUAUUUCAACUAAUGUUAGAUGUCGAAAAGCUGGAAACAUUUUCUAGAAGAAUAUUUUUACCUUGGGAAAGAUGCCGUGGAAACAAAAAAUUAAAGAAUGAAGAUAUGGUACUGGUAAGAAUGAAUUUUAAGAAAGAGCUGCCUGUUUCAAUGGAUAAAAUUUUAUAUUUGUUCUUUUUCUUAAAACAGUUUUAUGGUACAGGAAAUAACAGAAUAAUACCUACUGUUGAAAAAUGGGUUCCCAACAGUGGGUUGAACGUUAUACUUCCUAAAUUGAAACAUCAGGAAUAUUAUAAAGAUAUUAAUAUUUUCACAAGAUUUAGGGACUUAACUCCACCACAAAUAUUAGCAGUAUUUAAGGUAAUAAGCUAGAAAUAGACCAUGUUCGGGACACUCAAAGAUCCAGGUAGCUGACUACAUUUUUGUAACAUCUGAGAUGUAGAAAUAUGACUUGUUCACAUGUUGGAAGUGAGACGGCAAGUGACAAUGAAAUGGUUGGGAACCUCGGAACGAUGACAAGACAAACGACAGUUCCACAGGUAGCUAAAAAUAACCUGUCAUAUUUAAAAAUAAGGGAAGUCAUCAACAUUCCAUCUUUUGAAAGUAGCCCUUUUACAGCGAUGGUUGAAAAUGAACUGAUAAAGAGUGAAACAGUAGAGACUAGUUUAGCUGAUGUUGCCUUAGAAAAA